GCUGGCGACCGGCGCACGGGUGAGUAACACGUAUCCAACCUGCCGAUGACUCGGGGAUAGCCUUUCGAAAGAAAGAUUAAUACCCGAUGGCAUAGUUCUUCCGCAUGGUGGAACUAUUAAAGAAUUUCGGUCAUCGAUGGGGAUGCGUUCCAUUAGGUUGUUGGCGGGGUAACGGCCCACCAAGCCUUCGAUGGAUAGGGGUUCUGAGAGGAAGGUCCCCCACAUUGGAACUGAGACACGGUCCAAACUCCUACGGGAGGCAGCAUG
rnacentral:rRNA from 1 species